CUGCUGCCCAGAUGAUGGUUCAGCGAUAAAUAAAUGGAGUGUGCUUGCACUGGAGGCCUCCUACACACCGCUGCGGGCCAUCCCCACGCCUGUCCACGUGGGAAGGGGCUCUUGCACUGGCUGCAGCAGUGAGCCAGCAGCAAGAAUCACUUUCGCCUACCCAGGCAGCCUCUGAGACUUGUCGGCGUCAUAAAUCAGCCUGCUCAAAGGUAGCAGCCCGGCACAUGCCCCCUGAGCAGGGAAAAGAGCUUCAGGAUGCCCAGAGGCAGGUUACGGCGGCGAACAGCUGUGUAAAAUUCACACACCUCUGGCAAGGAAAAAAAAAGGCUUUAUGAGAACACAAACAAUUUGGAAUGUGACAGCUAGAAGAAGUCCUCUUUGCUGUCAAUUGAAGCUUGUCUCAUGCACAAUGAACGGGAGAUCUUGGUUCAGCUCUGCCAGAGGUUAGGACAGAGGUGGUUUUUCUGAAGAGACAAGGGUGUGGUGGAAAUAUUUCAUGCCAGUUAAAUAUGAACCGAAACACUAUCCCAAUUACAAAACAGGCCGGAAAAUAAAAUUUAACCAGCAGAAGAUCUGGAUCCCACUUGUGCCCUCCCAGGACAGAGGGGAAAGGACUCCUGGAAACUGGGCACGCAUGGUUCCCCUGGAGGUAGGGCUGGCUGUACGUGUGCAAAGGGGGCCUGGACUCCCCAAAAUCCCCUCGGGGCACAGCAGUCGCAGCAGCAGUGUAGGAUCACUAGCAUUGCUGCAUGGGGAAAACAAACGUCAAGGUUUAUGCAACAUUUCUUUUGGUGUUUGCAAAGAAUAGGUACAGGAGGAAGGACAGAAUGGCUCUCCUUCUGAAAAAUUUGCUUCUGAAGUACUUGGUAUUUUCAAUAAUUAAUUGGGUGAGAGCAGACUAGCUGUGAAACUGUAUUACAGAAAUCUGAGUCUUACGUUAUUACAGCCUGGGCUCUGAUACCUGUAUCAGAUGGGUCAGCCCUGUCCCGAAGCCCACUGAAACUAGCAGAGCGUUGCUGGCUGCCGGAGGUAGAGGUACCAGUGUGGGGGGACCAGAGAUGCUACAUGUUUCUACCAAAACUGGAGGCCAUACAUUUUCAGCUGCCUCCACAAAUAUCACUUCCUAAAAUAUUUCUGAACAUCUGUAUAACCACCAAAAGAUAUUCCACAGAGCGCUGACUCAGUAUUUCAUCUGAUUACAAUUUAAUGUGAAAUAGAGCAUCCUCAGAGUGGGGCCUGGCUCCCUUUUCCCCUGCGAGUGGCCCAGCAGCAAGUCCCUCUUUUCAGCAGGCAUCUCCUCCUGUCCCCGGCCCCACGGGGCAGAGCCAGCAGGCGGCCCGGGGCGCUCCCACCCCAUGGCUUGGCCACCAUGCUGCUCUCUGGGGAGAAGACGGAGAUGUGAGUUUUUACAAAUCAUAUUCCUGUUACCAAAACCUCAGUGUCAACUGAAAUACCUGGCAGUCUUCGAGAUGGGGACAAAAUGGGAGGAAAAACGGCUGCUGUUAUUCUAUGAUCCCUCUGACUGGCGAAGCCGUGCGCCCCGCAGUCGUGGCAGGGGAGGACACCGAACACACCUGACUUGCCACAUCUGCACGGGGAAGAGAGCUAGGAGCAAAGCCUCGAAGGAGUCUAGAGCACGUAAGUUUUGCAUUAGUGAUGAGCCAGAGCCAGUUACCCGCAUUUAAGCAAUACCAGGCUCUGGGGAAAUUCAGAUCCAGACCUGAACUACAUGGCUUGGCAAAAGCCUAUUCUUACCGUCACGUGUCUGACCUCUUGAAAAUAACGUUAAUUCAAAAGUUAAAUGUGUUCAGUUGACAGUGAUGGAGUAUUUGUGUUAAGGAGGAGAUUUUUCAAUGGCACGAAAUCGACUUACCAGUGGGUUACAAAUGCCUCAUUUAUGUCCUUUAGAAGGCCCGAGUGCAGCAGGUUUGGGGAGGACACUCAACUGCAGGGAGGUGUUUGUUGCACUGGUGGGGGCUGCCGUGUGGAGAGCCAGGACACGACUUUGCAGAUCAAAGAUGCCCCACUAAAAGCAUUGUAUUUCCAAAGGGGAUGCUGAAGG